AUUGAACGCUGGCGGCAUGCCUUACACAUGCAAGUCGAACGGCAGCACGGGAGCAAUCCUGGUGGCGAGUGGCGAACGGGUGAGUAAUACAUCGGAACGUGCCCAAUCGUGGGGGAUAACGCAGCGAAAGCUGUGCUAAUACCGCAUACGAUCUACGGAUGAAAGCAGGGGAUCGCAAGACCUUGCGCGAAUGGAGCGGCCGAUGGCAGAUUAGGUAGUUGGUGAGGUAAAGGCUCACCAAGCCGUCGAUCUGUAGCUGGUCUGAGAGGACGACCAGCCACACUGGGACUGAGACACGGCCCAGACUCCUACGGGAGGCAGCAGUGGGGAAUUUUGGACAAUGGGCGAAAGCCUGAUCCAGCCAUGCCGCGUGCAGGAUGAAGGCCUUCGGGUUGUAAACUGCUUUUGUACGGAACGAAACGGCCUUUUCUAAUAAAGAGGGCUAAUGACGGUACCGUAAGAAUAAGCACCGGCUAACUACGUGCCAGCAGCCGCGGUAAUACGUAGGGUGCAAGCGUUAAUCGGAAUUACUGGGCGUAAAGCGUGCGCAGGCGGUUAUGUAAGACAGUUGUGAAAUCCCCGGGCUCAACCUGGGAACUGCAUCUGUGACUGCAUAGCUAGAGUACAGUAGAGGGGGAUGGAAUUCCGCGUGUAGCAGUGAAAUGCGUAGAUAUGCGGAGGAACACCGAUGGCGAAGGCAAUCCCCUGGACCUGUACUGACGCUCAUGCACGAAAGCGUGGGGAGCAAACAGG
rnacentral:rRNA from 1 species